rnacentral:piRNA from 1 species
UAGAAAAGACUGAUUCUUCUCCUUUCAGU